CGGUAACAGCUCAAAUUUGAAAUCUGGCUCUUUCAGGGUCCGAGUUGUAAUUUGUAGAAGAUGCUUCGGGUAUGGCCCCCAUCUAAGUGCCCUGGAACGGGCUGUCAUAGAGGGUGAGAAUCCCGUCUGGGAUGGGUGGCUAGGCCCGUGUGAAGCUCCUUCGAC
rnacentral:rRNA from 1 species